AGGCAGGGGGACCAGGGUAGGAGAGCUGCCUCACCAAGAUGUGGGAGUCCAGCAGGGGGUUCGUUAUCUGGAACAGGGCGGCAGGCUCAGCCUCAGGGAAUGGGUUCCUCAGCCAAGGGGGGCCUAGAUACAGCAGGGACAUGAUUUGCAGGCAGGAAUCAGAUCGGCCUUCAGAAGGGGCAACUGAGGACAAAGGGUGAGAGCCAGGUUAGCGACACCCUGGCCUUGGAAUGUGUGGGGGGAGCUGGGCAGGGAGUGUCAGUGGGUCAAGGACCCCAGCUGUUCCUUUCUCUGUACCCAGUGGGGUCACCCUCACCCCACUACCACCUGUCAGAUGGCCACCCCCUCAGGUCCUCCCCAGAUGUGUCCCAUGGCAGGUUCUUAUCCAUGGGUCCUGCUGGGAGCAGUGAGCUGGGGGGGGAGGGGUGUCAGGAAUUCUGAGCAGCCAAAGGAAAUAGCCUGGUGGACAGGGAAGGGGAGGGGGCUGCUGGUGAGUAUCCCCAUAUGACCCCGGAAGCAGAGGAGAGGGGCCCAGGGCCCAGGAGCCAAGCCUGGGUUUUCUAGGUAUGGGGGUACAGCUGGAGGGGCUGAAGAGGAUGGGCAGGAGGUGGGGCAAAGCCUGGGCUGGUGGCCACAGGAGCUCCCUCAGAAAACAGUUUCCCAAGGUGGGUGCGGAGACAGGGUGGGAAAGGCUCACCUGUCUGAAUUCAAAUAACGGACUCAGACACAAAAAUCUAGCUAAAAUGAGACUUUUAAAACUCUCCAGAGCGGGUGUCCGUUGGUGCAGGCUCACCUGAAUUCGCUGGCACAGGCAAUAUUUCUCCUCUUGUGUGAAAGUCCCUCCACCAGUUCUUAGGCUGAGUGUAUGGAGUUUACAUUCUACCCCUUAAGUCACCUAGGUCUUAUUGUCUCCUGUUGUUUUUGUUUUUGUUGUUGUUUUUUAUUGGCUGAGGCCUUUUGUAGUUGUCUCCACCUCCCUUUGUCUAGGGAAUCUUCCUGGAAAAUGUGCUACCAGCCAGGUGCACAGCUCUCAUAAUCGCUCCCCACCUCCCCUCCUACACCCUGCUUGUUCCUGGGAUAUUCAGUAACUGACUGGCUACAGGCUGUUUCUUUUCUAUGAAGAUGAAUCAUAGAGACAUUUCUCCUACAACAGGAAGCCCCAGCCAGACUGGGGAGCUCAGAGGCAAUGGGGGAGGAUGGGGGGGAAGGCGUAGGUGAGCUCUCCCCCAGGCCUGCAGAGGACACUCCUGAGCCCAAGGCAAAGCCAGGCCCAUGGGACUCCACAGACAACCCCCCACCCCUCCACCCCCAGAGAAUGGGCCUGGUCCAGGGCCACUGACCCUCAGGUCUCUUGUUGUCCAGGUGACCCCCUCAGGGCAGGAUCUCUGUGAGGUUGGGACCUGGCUUCCCCCUUGGAGGAGCAGAUCCAGAGGCCCUAGGGGGAUUGGAGUGUGUGGGAAGGUGACUUGGGCGUUCUCCCCACAGGUGUGAGCUCUGAUUCCAGGAGAAGAUGCCGGUAACAGGAAGUACCGCACUCAAGCUGCUUUUGGGAGGGAGCGGUCUGAAAUUGCUGUUAUCAGUAACAGGGCCUGGUGCGCUUGUGCUAGCCGUGGGCGCCGUGGCAGUAGGACUCACAGGAAUCAGCUUCUUCUGGUGGAAUUAGGUCAGAGCAAGCCUGGGAUUAGCAUCUGGGGAUGUCUGGGGCAGGCUGGGGGUGGGGGUGGGGGCUCUAUAUGAGUAAGAGGGAGGGCUGGGGAUGGUUUGAAGGAGGCACAGUUCAGAUCUGAGAAGGUAGUGGGGCUCUCCAUUGGCCUGGAGGUCUGGCAGCCCCUCCAAACUGACUGCCCGUACCCUCCUCCCAUUGCCAGCUCCGGGCCCUGUCUGACACGCCCACCUUCUUUUGCAGGCCAUGGAAUACAAGAUGCAGGAAAAGCAGUCCUCGGGUUACCUUCGUCAUGUCCUGGUUACGACAGGAAUUGUUACCUUUCUUUUCAUUUUUUUGUACUGUUUCACUUCAUUUCUGACUUAUGGCAAAAAUGGCCUCAUGUCAAGCUAUAGAAACUGAUCUCCCAGGUUACCCGAGGACCUACUCUAUUAUUGACAGGAAUCCUUUCCAAUCUCCUGGCCAGAAGGAGAAGGCUCCGCCUUCCUGGGGAAUGUGUGAAGCAACAUGCUAUACACAGCUUAUAUUUUGAUUAUGAACAAAGUCAACUUUUGAGCAAAAUAAAAAUUAAUUAAAUA